rnacentral:rRNA from 1 species
GACGAACGCUGGCGGCGUGCUUAACACAUGCAAGUCGAACGGUGAAGCGCCUUCCUUUUUGGUGGGUGUGGAUGAGUGGCGAACGGGUGAGUAACACGUGAGUAACCUGCCCCCUUCUUCUGGAUAACCGCAUGAAAGUGUGGCUAAUACGGGAUAUUCUGGGUCUGUCGCAUGAUGGGUCUGGGAAAGAUAUUGUUUCGGUGGGGGAUGGGCUCGCGGCCUAUCAGCUUGUUGGUGGGGUGAUGGCCUACCAAGGCGGUGACGGGUAGCCGGCCUGAGAGGGUGGACGGUCACACUGGGACUGCGACACGGCGCAGCCUCCUACGGGAGGCAGCAGUGGGGAAUAUUGCACAAUGGGCGCAAGCAUGAUGCAGCGACGCCGCGUGAGGGAUGGAGGCCUUCGGGUUGUGAACCUCUUUCGCCAGUGAAGCAGGCCUGCCUCGUUUGUGGGUGGGUUGACGGUAGCUGGAUAAGAAGCGCCGGCUAACUACGUG